rnacentral:RNase_P_RNA from 1 species
AACACACUGAGCCCCUUAGGGCUCUCCCUCGCAUAUGGGAAGGUCUGAGGCGCCUCUCAGCAGAGAUCGCAGGGAGGACACUCCCGGAGGAGCUAACAGAAAGGCACUUGGCCCUCUAAGUCGAAGAGGCUUCGGCUGAGACUCAGAUGAGGAACCAAGCUGAAAAGCUCCGCGGCGUCGAUACUAAGUCCAAUGAGCGUGACUCUCACGAGCAACUCAAUUCAGACUACUCUUU